rnacentral:rRNA from 1 species
UUGUGGUUAAAAAGCUCGUAGUUGGAUCUCGGCGGACUGAGGGCGGUUUGCUUGCUAGUAUUACUGCCCUAUAGUCCGUAGUUUUGCCAGAGGUUUCGGGGUGCUCUUAAUCGAGUGUCCCGGGAUGCUGGCAGGUUUACUUUGAAAAAAUUAGAGUGCUCAAAGCAGGCUAUUACGCCUGAAUAUUCGUGCAUGGAAUAAUAGAAUAGGAAGUCGUUUCUAUUUUGUUGGUUUUCGGAAAUCGACUUAAUGAUUAAUAGGGACAGUCGGGGGCAUUUGUAUUCAAACGACAGAGGUGAAAUUCUUGGACCGUUUGAAGACAAACUACUGCGAAAGCAUUUGCCAAGAAUGUUUUCAUUAAUCAAGAACGAAAGUUAAAGGUUCGAAGGCGAUUAGAUACCGCCCUAGUUUUAACCAUAAACGAUGCCAGCUAGCGAUCUGCGGACGUUUUUUUUGUAGACUCCGCAGGAAGCUUCCGGGAAACCAAAGCAUUUGGGUUCCAGGGGAAGUAUGGUUGCAAAGCUGAAACUUAAAGGAAUUGACGGAAAGGCACCACCAGGAGUGGAGCCUGUGGCUUAAUUUGACUCAACACGGGAAAUCUCACCAGGCCCGGACACUGGAAGGAUUGACAGAUUGAUAGCUCUCUCUUGAUCGGUGGGUGGUGGUGCAU